rnacentral:rRNA from 1 species
UACGUAGGGAGCAAGCGUUGUCCGGAAUCAUUGGGCGUAAAGCGCGCGUAGGUGGCUUCGUAAGUCUGUUGUGAAAGUCAAAGGCUCAACCUUUGAAAGCCGAUGGAUACUGCGGAGCUAGAGUACGGGAAGAGGCGAGUGGAAUUCCUGGUGUAGCGGUGGAAUGCGCAGAUAUCAGGAGGAACACCAAUAGCGAAGGGC